UUAAGUUAAUAAGGGCGCACGGUGGAUGCCUUGGCACUAGAAGCCGAUGAAGGACGUGACUAACGACGAAAUGCUUUGGGGAGCUGUAAGUGAGCAAUGAUCCAGAGAUGUCCGAAUGGGGGAACCCGGCAGGUAAUGCCUGUCACUCAUUACUGUUAAGGUAAUGUAGAGGAAGACGCAGUGAACUGAAACAUCUAAGUAGCUGUAGGAAGAGAAAGCAAAAGCGAUUGCCUUAGUAGCGGCGAGCGAAACGGCAAGAGGGCAAACCGAAGAGUUUACUCUUCGGGGUUGUAGGACUGCAACGUGGACUUAAAGACUAUAGAAGAACUACCUGGGAAGGUAGGCCAAAGAGAGUAAUAGCCUCGUAUUCGAAAUAGUCUUUAUACCUAGCAGUAUCCUGAGUACGGCGAGACACGAGAAAUCUCGUCGGAAUCUGGGAGGACCAUCUCCCAACCCUAAAUACUCUCUAGUGACCGAUAGUGAACCAGUACCGUGAGGGAAAGGUGAAAAGCACCCCGGGAGGGGAGUGAAAUAGAACCUGAAACCGUGUGCCUACAACAAGUUCGAGCCCGUUAAUGGGUGAGAGCGUGCCUUUUGUAGAAUGAACCGGCGAGUUACGAUAUGAUGCGAGGUUAAGUUGAAGAGACGGAGCCGUAGGGAAACCGAGUCUUAAUAGGGCGCAUUAGUAUCAUGUCGUAGACCCGAAACCAUGUGACCUACCCAUGAGCAGGUUGAAGGUGAGGUAAAACUCACUGGAGGACCGAACCAGGGCACGUUGAAAAGUGCUUGGAUGACUUGUGGGUAGCGGAGAAAUUCCAAACGAACUUGGAGAUAGCUGGUUCUCUCCGAAAUAGCUUUAGGGCUAGCGUCGAUGUUAAGUCUCUUGGAGGUAGAGCACUGUUUGGGUGAGGGGUCCAUCCCGGAUUACCAAUCUCAGAUAAACUCCGAAUGCCAAUGAGAUAUAAUCGGCAGUCAGACUGCGAGUGCUAAGAUCCGUAGUCGAAAGGGAAACAGCCCAGACCACCAGCUAAGGUCCCAAAAUAUAUGUUAAGUGGAAAAGGAUGUGGGGUUGCACAGACAACUAGGAUGUUAGCUUAGAAGCAGCUAUUCAUUCAAAGAGUGCGUAAUAGCUCACUAGUCGAGUGACCCUGCGCCGAAAAUGUACCGGGGCUAAAACAUAUUACCGAAGCUGUGGAUACCUUUAUAGGUAUGGUAGGAGAGCGUUCUAUGUGCGAAGAAGGUGUACCGUGAGGAGUGCUGGAGCGCAUAGAAGUGAGAAUGCCGGUAUGAGUAGCGAAAGACAGGUGAGAAUCCUGUCCACCGUAAGACUAAGGUUUCCAGGGGAAGGCUCGUCCGCCCUGGGUUAGUCGGGACCUAAGGAGAGACCGAAAGGUGUAUCCGAUGGACAACAGGUUGAUAUUCCUGUACUAGAGUAUAUAGUGAUGGAGGGACGCAGUAGGCUAACUAAACCAGACGAUUGGAAGUGUCUGGCCAAGCAGUGAGGUGUGAUAUGAGUCAAAUGCUUAUAUCUUUAACAUUGAGCUGUGAUGGGGAGCGAAGUUUAGUAGCGAAGUUAGUGAUGUCACACUGCCGAGAAAAGCUUCUAGCGUUAAUUAUACUCUACCCGUACCGCAAACCGACACAGGUAGUCGAGGCGAGUAGCCUCAGGUGAGCGAGAGAACUCUCGUUAAGGAACUCGGCAAAAUGGCCCCGUAACUUCGGGAGAAGGGGCGCUGACUGAUGGUCAGCCGCAGUGAAUAGGCCCAAGCAACUGUUUAUCAAAAACACAGCUCUCUGCUAAAUCGUAAGAUGAUGUAUAGGGGGUGACGCCUGCCCGGUGCUGGAAGGUUAAGAGGAGUGCUUAGCGUAAGCGAAGGCAUGAAUUGAAGCCCCAGUAAACGGCGGCCGUAACUAUAACGGUCCUAAGGUAGCGAAAUUCCUUGUCGGGUAAGUUCCGACCCGCACGAAAGGCGUAAUGAUUUGGGCACUGUCUCAACGAGAGACUCGGUGAAAUUUUAGUACCUGUGAAGAUGCAGGUUACCCGCGACAGGACGGAAAGACCCCAUGGAGCUUUACUGCAGUUUGAUAUUGAGUAUCUGUACCACAUGUACAGGAUAGGUAGGAGCCUAUGACCUCGGGACGCCAGUUUCGAGUGAGGCGUUGUUGGGAUACUACCCUUGUGUUAUGGCUACUCUAACCCAGAUAGGUUAUCCCUAUCGGAGACAGUGUCUGACGGGCAGUUUGACUGGGGCGGUCGCCUCCUAAAAGGUAACGGAGGCGCCCAAAGGUUCCCUCAGAAUGGUUGGAAAUCAUUCGCAGAGUGUAAAGGUAUAAGGGAGCUUGACUGCGAGAGCUACAACUCGAGCAGGGACGAAAGUCGGGCUUAGUGAUCCGGUGGUUCCGUAUGGAAGGGCCAUCGCUCAACGGAUAAAAGCUACCCUGGGGAUAACAGGCUUAUCUCCCCCAAGAGUUCACAUCGACGGGGAGGUUUGGCACCUCGAUGUCGGCUCGUCGCAUCCUGGGGCUGUAGUCGGUCCCAAGGGUUGGGCUGUUCGCCCAUUAAAGCGGCACGCGAGCUGGGUUCAGAACGUCGUGAGACAGUUCGGUCCCUAUCCGUCGCGGGCGUAGGAAAUUUGAGAGGAUCUGCUCCUAGUACGAGAGGACCAGAGUGGACUUACCGCUGGUGUACCAGUUGUUCUGCCAAGAGCAUCGCUGGGUAGCUAUGUAGGGAAGGGAUAAACGCUGAAAGCAUCUAAGUGUGAAGCCCACCUCAAGAUGAGAUUUCCCAUGAUUUUAUAUCAGUAAGAGCCCUGAGAGAUGAUCAGGUUGAUAGGUUAGAAGUGGAAGUGUGGUGACACAUGUAGCGGACUAAUACUAAUAGCUCGAGGACUUAUCCAA
rnacentral:rRNA from 1 species